rnacentral:rRNA from 1 species
UACGUAGGGUGCGAGCGUUGUCCGGAAUUAUUGGGCGUAAAGAGCUCGUAGGCGGUGUGUCACGUCGGCCGUGAAAACCUGCAGCUUAACUGUGGGCGUGCGGUCGAUACGGGCAUCACUGGAGUUCGGCAGGGGAGACUGGAAUUCCUGGUGUAGCGGUGAAAUGCGCAGAUAUCAGGAGGAACACCGGUGGCGAAGGCGGGUCUCUGGGCCCAUACUGACGCUGAGGAGCGAAAGCGUGGGGAGCAAACAGG